rnacentral:tRNA from 1 species
GUGGCUGUGGCUUAGUGGUAGAGCACUGGUCUAGCAUGCGUGAGGCACUGGGUUCGAACCUCAGCACCACA